rnacentral:lncRNA from 1 species
CAGUAACCCCAUGGCAGCUCUAACGUUUGUUGGUGCAUCCCGAUUUUUUUCUGGUGAUAAUCCAGUGAUUUCACUGCAGAAAUGGAGCUGAUAACCCAACAUCAACAAGCUAAACAGGAUGUCAAGAUCAAGCCCACCCCACUGCCGGAAGGAAUUGGUAGGUCUGUCUACCUCCAUGAGAGGGCACUGCUCUUCACAGAAAGCCUUGGGCACCUUGGUGGUGCGUUAUAGCCUAAAUAGAAAUAGUUAAGCUUAGCAAGAGGACGUCUCAAAAGGUAUUAUCCCUGCAUCACAGCGUAAGGGCAGAGCAGUGCUUGCGUUGCAGUACUUCCUGCAACGUGACAACACCCUUCCUGCAGCAGUUGUGAGGAAGGGCUCCUAUGGGCAGACUGAGGGUUGACUGUGUAACAGGGCUCUCGUUUUCUCAGCAGCAAAAUGACAACAACGGGGGAACAGCUACGAAGUUCUGCUGCCCCAGGAAGAAGCUGUGUUGGGCAUGAGGCAGCACUGUCUGCUCCUGCUUCCUUCUCUGUUGGACAGAAUGCAGCUGGAAAUAAGUCUGGAAGGCGCUCACUGUCAUGGGGAACCUCUGCCCCUGCAUGUGUAGCAGCAAGCUCCCAACUGCUCACUGCAGCCACACGGACACACGGUGAAGAGGAAAGCAGAUUUCAACAGCAGGCAGUGAUUUGUCUACGAUGAAAGACAAAAUACGUAUUCGUUAUGUAGUACGCGUGCAUCGCUUCAUAUGCCUUUGUUGAAAGCAAUCUUGAGCAGGGAAUUCAUCCUCUUAAAUAGGUUACUCGG